GCAAGCAUGAGAGCAGAUCGAUCACAAACCAGGUCUUCAGCAGGUUAAGCCAAAGGGUACAAAAGAAAACAAUCAGCUGCAAGAGUCCUGCUUGGACAAAACAGCCUCAGAUCAAGUUCCCUGCUGCUCUGAACCUCCCAUAAUCACUUAGUCUUGUGCGCAACAAGGGUCAGACACUGUCAGACCACAGUCCCUCGCACACGUGUAGUGACAAUGGGAAUUGCAAGCCCGCUGACUUUAAGCCCAGUAUGUUCUGCAGAAGAGGAGCAGCAUGACCUGCCCAGAGCCCUGCGCAUUAGCACGCAGGCAUCAACAGUUUGAAGGCAAAAUAAGGGAACCUGGUAUUUUUGUUUCACUGAGGAACCCUUUCCUCCAAGAAGGAGCCCUGCAGACCUAACAAGGACUCGGACAUGUCCACUGCAGCACUGAGAGCUCUGCCACUCCUGACCAGUUUCACACGGGUUCUCCAUGCUACAAGAAGA